UUACUGAGUUACCGCUCUACAACCCUUUGUGAACAUACCUAACCGUUGCUUCGGCGGGCAGGGGAAGCCUCUCGCGGGCCUCCCCUCCCGGCGCCGGCCCCACCACGGGGACGGGGCGCCCGCCGGAGGAAACCAAACUCUAUUUACACGACGUCUCUUCUGAGUGGCACAAGCAAAUAAUUAAAACUUUUAACAACGGAUCUCUUGGUUCUGGCAUCGAUGAARAACGCAGCGAAAUGCGAUAAGUAAUGUGAAUUGCARAAUUCAGUGAAUCAUCGAAUCUUUGAACGCACAUUGCGCUCGCCAGCAUUCUGGCGAGCAUGCCUGUUCGAGCGUCAUUUCAACCCUCAAGCACCGCUKGGUUUUGGGGCCCCACGGCAGACGUGGGCCCUUAAAGGUAGUGGCGGACCCUCCCGGAGCCUCCUUUGCGUAGUAACUAACGUCUCGCACUGGGAUCCGGAGGGACUCUUGCCGUAAAACCCCCAAAUUCUUUACAGGUUGACCUCGGAUCAGGUAGGAAUACCCGCUGAACUUAAGCAUAUCAUA
rnacentral:rRNA from 1 species